UACGUAGGGGGCAAGCGUUAAUCGGAAUUACUGGGCGUAAAGCGUGCGCAGGCGGUUUUGUAAGUCUGUCGUGAAAGCCCCGGGCUUAACCUGGGAAUUGCGAUGGAGACUGCAAGGCUUGAAUCUGGCAGAGGGGGGUAGAAUUCCACGUGUAGCAGUGAAAUGCGUAGAGAUGUGGAGGAACACCGAUGGCGAAGGCAGCCCCCUGGGUCAAGAUUGACGCUCAUGCACGAAAGCGUGGGGAGCAAACAGG
rnacentral:rRNA from 1 species